UUAAAUCAGCAGACAGUGAGUGUGACUGGAUACGUGGGACAGUCUGUCCUUCUGCCCUGCUCUUGCUUUCAACUACAAGCCAAACCACACACUCUUAGAUGGGUCUUUAUUAAAGGAUCUGAUCACAAGGAAAUCUUCCCAAAGGACCAGACAAAUCUCUACACAGACAGAGUUCAGCUCAUUAAUGAUCAUCAUCCAGGAAAUCUCUCUCUACUCAUAUCACACCUGACUGUAGAGGAUAGAGGAAAGUACAGGUGUCAGAUUAACAAUGCUAUGGAUGCAAAUGUCAUACUCGUAGUAAGAGACGCACCAACAAGACCUUCAACAUCCACUCCAGUAAUUAUAACAACUUCACCUAAUCCUAAACCAGGUGUCACAACACAAACCCCAAUGAUCAACGACAAAACAACUGCACACACUGAAACAUCUUCUGAAAAAG